rnacentral:lncRNA from 1 species
AGAGAAGGAGACACAUUUGUGCAAUAUUUAGGAAGCAAAAUUGUAGAGCAGGAAUGGAUCUGAAGUCAAUGAAAAACUCUUCAUAGCUCUAGUUGUUGGGCUUCCCCAGAAGAUGACAUUGAAAGGAAGGUUUGGAUGCAAGUUGUUCAUUUAGGAGGAGAUCUCAGGAAGCACAAAGUAUUUCCUUGAGUCAGGACCUCCAAGUCCUCCCCUAACUAACUGGUGUCCUUAUAAGAGAAAUUUAAACACAGAAAUGCACAGAGGGAGGACCCUAUGAAGACUCAGAGAGAAGAUGGCCAU